UAGAAGUAAAAGUCGU
rnacentral:rRNA from 1 species